GAUCCUGGCUCAAGAUGAACGCUAGCGGCAGGCCUAACACAUGCAAGUCGAGGGGCAGCACGGUGUAGCAAUACACUGGUGGCGACCGGCGCACGGGUGCGUAACGCGUAUGCAACCUACCCCAUAACAGGGGGAUAACACUGAGAAAUUGGUACUAAUACCCCAUAACAUCAGGACCGGCAUCGGUUCUGGUUGAAAACUCCGGUGGUUAUGGAUGGGCAUGCGUUGUAUUAGCUGGGUUGGUG
rnacentral:rRNA from 1 species